UGGCUCAGACGGUAAAGCGUCUGCCUACAAUGCGGGAGACCCAGGUUCAAUCCCUGG
rfam:TPA: Bos taurus chromosome 27, whole genome shotgun sequence.